AGUAGGGCCGUGAAAGCGAAGGCUUAGUCCUAUGGAUGAAUUAAUCAGACUUGCUAUGAUAAGCAUCGAUAACGAGCUGAGAAUGGAAACGCGAACAAAGUGUUCGUAGAGACUGAUGUGGAGAAAUCAGUAUAGUAUAAAAUGAAAUUGAGAAACUGUAGAAUAGUAUUGGAAUUUAUCUCCAUCCGUUAAGUAAUGAGGAAUAAGAUGUAUCUAAGUUUCGCGGACGAAACUUUUGUUAACGGGAGGAGAAUGUAACAUAUGGAAACUUGGAGUUGCGAUGUCAACUUUGACCUAGAGGGUCAAAGUGAGGAUUGAGCUAGUUGGACAUCAUCCCCGAGUGAUUUGUGAUGCGUGUGAAUGAAUUCUGGAGAUAAAUAAGUGUUUCGGCGCAAAUUGGGCGCGAAACGAAAUAUAAAGAGAAUUUCGGAUUUCCGACGCUAACUUUGAUUAAAAGAAUUAAAGUAAGGCGUGAGGAUAAAUUGUGGUAUCUCCGAAUCAAUUGUGAAGUUUUGGAAAAGCCAAGGGUGUGCUUUCAAAGGGUUUUGAAGUGUUCAGUGCGAAGUGGUAGUGCAAAAAGGAGAAAUUUCUGCCGUGUAAUGAAAUUGGAGCCGAUUCUAUUGCUAAUUCGGCUCAAAUAAUGUCAAAAUAAAAAGGAAUUGCUUCCAAAUUAAAUUGGUAGCUUAUGAAGGUCCCUUGGUAUAUUUUGGAAGUGUUUGGGUGAAAUCAGAGCGAAAACGGAAAAUUUAGAAUUUUCUGUAAAGAUCGGGACUGAGAAAAUUAGCAGAAAAUGCAUAGUGUCAGAAAAUUAUGAAAAUUGACAGAGAUGUCAGGAACAUUUUUAUGAGGCUAUAUUUGAAGUUUCAGAUUUUUCUGACACCUGUAGAGAGAGAAAUAGCAUUUGAAAGUUAUCUGAUAAAGAUUACAGUUCGGGACAGUUCGCAGUGACCAAACGGGGUCGAAACUGAAAUAUUAAAAUUUCAGUGGACUUGUUAAGUAAAAACGAACAUUCCUGUCAAAUUUGAGCUCAAUCG
rnacentral:lncRNA from 1 species